rnacentral:tRNA from 1 species
GAAGUAUGGUUGUACAAAUAGGAGCUGCUAACUCCUUUCUAGCGGUUAAAAUCCGUUAAUAUUUCU